rnacentral:rRNA from 1 species
GGAUUAGAUACCCUGGUAGUCCACGCUGUAAACGAUGUCAACUAGCUGUUGGUUAUUUAAAUAUAAUUAGUGGCGCAGCAAACGCGAUAAGUUGACCGCCUGGGGAGUACGGUCGCAAGAUUAAAACUCAAAGGAAUUGACGGGGGCCCGCACAAGCGGUGGAGCAUGUGGUUUAAUUCGAUGCAACGCGAAGAACCUUACCUACCCUUGACAUACAGUGGAGCUUGCAGAGAUGCGAGUGUGCCUUCGGGAACACUGAUACAGGUGCUGCAUGGCUGUCGUCAGCUCGUGCCG